rnacentral:rRNA from 1 species
CAAUAGCGUAUAUUAAAGUUGUUGCAGUUAAAAAGCUCGUAGUUGGAUUUCUGGUAGGAGCGACCGUGCCGAACUUGAUUGUUCGAGUAUUGUGUUGUCUUCAGCCAUCCUCGUGGAGAACUUUUCUAACAUUAACUUGUUGGGAUUGGGACCCGCGUCGUUUACUGUGAAAAAAUUAGAGUGUUUAAAGCAGGCAUUAGCUUGAAUACGUUAGCAUGGAAUAAUAAGAUAGGACUUUGGUACUAUUUUGUUGGUUUGCAUACCAAAUUAAUGAUCAACAGGAACAGUUUGAGGAUAUUCGUAUGAACAUGUCAGAGGUGAAAUUCUUGGAUUUUGAUCAGACGAACUACUGCGAAAGCAUUUAUCAAGGAUGUUUUCAUUAA